rnacentral:rRNA from 1 species
UGCCUACGGGGCGCAGCAGUUGGGAAUAUUGGACAAUGGGGGAAACCCUGAUCCAGUGACGCCGCGUGAAGGAAGAAGGUCUUCGGAUUGUAAACUUAUUUUAUCAGGGAAGAAAAAAAUGACUGUACCUGAAGAAGAAGCACCGGCUAACUACGUGCCAGCAGCCGCGGUAAUACGUAGGGUGCAGGCGUUAUCCGGAUUUACUGGGUGUAAAGGGCGAGUAGACGGCGUUGCAAGUCAGAUGUGAAAGGCUAGAGCUCAACUUUAGGACUGCAUCUGAAACUGUAAUGCUAGAGUGCAGGAGA